rnacentral:rRNA from 1 species
AACGUAGGUGGCAAGCGUUAUCCGGAUUCACUGGGCGUAAAGCGAGUGCAGGUGGUUGCGUAAGUUGGAUGUGAAAUUUCCCGGCCUAACCGGGAGGGGUCAUUCAAUACUGCGCGACUUGAGGGCAGAAGAGGGGGGUGGAAUUGCCGGUGUAGUGGUGAAAUGCGUAGAUAUCGGCAGGAACACCUGUGGCGAAAGCGGCCCCCUGGUCUGCUCCUGACACUCAGACUCGAAAGCUAGGGUAGCGAACGGG